rnacentral:tRNA from 1 species
GGAAGUGUGCCCGAGAACAGGGACUACUUUGAUAGAGUAAAUACAGAGGAAAUAACCCUCUCUCUUCC